CCAGACUCCUACGGGAGGCAGCAGUGAGGAAUAUUGGUCAAUGGUCGGGAGACUGAACCAGCCAAGCCGCGUGAGGGAUGAAGGUACAGAGUAUCGUAAACCUCUUUUGUCAGGGAACAAAGGCGGGGACGUGUCCCCGGAUGAGUGUACCUGAAGAAAAAGCAUCGGCUAACUCCGUGCCAGCAGCCGCGGUAAUACGGAGGAUGCGAGCGUUAUCCGGAUUUAUUGGGUUUAAAGGGUGCGCAGGCGGCCUGUUAAGUCAGGGUGAAAGGCCGGGGGCCAAACCCGGGCGAGCCGUUGAAACUGGCGGGCUGGAGUUGGAGAGAAGUACGCGGAAUGCGCGGUGUAGCGGUGAAAUGCUUAGAUAUCGCGCAGAACCCCGAUUGCGAAGACAGCGUACCGGCUCCACACUGACGCUGAGGCACGAAAGCGUGGGUAUCGAACAGGAUUAGAUACCCGAGUA
rnacentral:rRNA from 1 species